rnacentral:rRNA from 1 species
UGCUGGAGGUAUCAGAAGUGCGAAUGCUGACAUAAGUAACGAUAAAGCGGGUGAAAAGCCCGCUCGCCGGAAGACCAAGGGUUCCUGUCCAACGUUAAUCGGGGCAGGGUGAGUCGACCCCUAAGGCGAGGCCGAAAGGCGUAGUCGAUGGGAAACAGGUUAAUAUUCCUGUACUUGGUGUUACUGCGAAGGGGGGACGGAGAAGGCUAUGUUAGCCGGGCGACGGUUGUCCCGGUUUAAGCAUGUAGGCUGGUUAUCCAGGCAAAUCCGGAUAAUCAAGGCUGAGGUGUGAUGACGAGGCACUACGGUGCUGAAGUAACAAAUGCCCUGCUUCCAGGAAAAGCCUCUAAGCAUCAGGUAACAUCAAAUCGUACCCCAAACCGACACAGGUGGUCAGGUAGAGAAUACCA